ensembl:snoRNA small Cajal body-specific RNA 6
GGUCAGUGAUGAUUGGUAAAAGGUCUGACUGCACUUAACGUCACAGCCCUUCCUUGCUCUUGACUCCCAGCAGCCCUUUUGUUCCUCCUGUCACAUUUAAGUCAUGUGUGUGGGGUUAUGGCGCAGCUGACAGUCUGGGACUCUGUCGGUGUGUGUGCCUGAGAGCUGCAGGUUCACAGCUGACAAGUGUCCAACAGGCAGUUCUGCAGGAGGCUCGUGAGGUCAGGCGGGCACGACGGUGCGUGAUCUCAAGUUUUCAAUCUGAGACC